AUUGAACGCUGGCGGAAUGCUUUACACAUGCAAGUCGAGCGGCAGCGCGGGGCAACCUGGCGGCGAGCGGCGAAACGGGUGAGUAAUACAUCGGAACGUACCCAGUUGUGGGGGGAUAGCCCGGCGAAAGCCGGAUUAAUACCGCAUACGACCUGAGGGUNAAAGGGGGGGAUCGCAAGACCUCUCGCAGUUGGAGCGGCCGAUGGCGGAUUAGCUAGUUGGUAGGGUAAAGGCCUACCAAGGCGACGAUCCGUAGCUGGUCUGAGAGGACGACCAGCCACACUGGAACUGAGACACGGUCCAGACUCCUACGGGAGGCAGCAGUGGGGAAUUUUGGACAAUGGGGGCAACCCUGAUCCAGCCAUUCCGCGUGAGUGAAGAAGGCCUUCGGGUUGUAAAGCUCUUUCGGCAGGAACGAAACGGUGGUCCCUAAUACGGAUUGCUAAUGACGGUACCUGAAGAAGAAGCACCGGCUAACUACGUG
rnacentral:rRNA from 1 species